ACCUAAUUUGCUGGUCUUUUUUAUUGCUGCAGGUUGUGGUGUUCCAUGCCCAAUAAUUAUAUUAAGUUGGGAAUUACCCAUUUAUGAAUUUCAAUUGAAUUUGAGUUUUCAUGGUGAUUUGUUAUGAAAGUUUAAAAAAUGUCUUAUAGCCACCAGUGUGAUUGCAAACAAAUUCCCUUUGGUAUGUUUUGUUUUUCAGUUAAUCAUAAGCAUGUUCCUUCUCUCUUUACAGCGUGUUAUAUGAUUUUUCUUAUGAGGAAAUAUACAAUGUUUGAUUGAUAAUUUGCCUGGUGUAACAAACUACAUAUUUUGGGCCCCUUCUUUUGGUGGUCUGAAUCAUUCGUAUGGUGGGUCCCACUGCAAGUAGGAUACAACCCAGAUAUCUGCCUCAGUAGACAAUAAUGAUCAUUUAUUGGGUCCUCAUUAGAUGUAGACCAGUGGUAGUAGUUUUCCAUUUUCAUUGGAUGGCUAGGAUCUUCGGGUAGGCAACAUAUCAUGGCAAGGCCCAUCAAAUGAUUUGGCCUACUAGAUGACUGGUGUUUCCAAAAAGAGGGUGCCACCUGUACCAUUGUUGGAUCCAUAGUUUGUAAAAUGGCAAACGGUGAAAAACUCGUAUGGGAAAUGUCCGUGUUUAAUUCAGUCUCGAUUGUAAAAAAUACAGGAAAAGAAAUGGAAAUGCAAAAAAUUCAGAGAAUGAAACGUUUAGGUUUAAUACGGUUUGGACUAUAAAAAUGAAGUGAAAAAACGACUAUAUAUGUGCAUGUGUAUGUGUGUGUAUUACAUGCAAAAAAGGUUAAAAGUAGAAAA